rnacentral:rRNA from 1 species
UCUCUGGUGAUUCAUAAUAACUUCUCGAAUCGCACGGCCUUGCGCCGGCGAUGGUUCAUUCAAAUUUCUGCCCUAUCAACUUUCGACGGCUGGGUCUUGGCCAGCCGUGGUGACAACGGGUAACGGAGGGUUAGGGCUCGACCCCGGAGAAGGAGCCUGAGAAACGGCUACUACAUCCAAGGAAGGCAGCAGGCGCGCAAAUUACCCAAUCCCGACACGGGGAGGUAGUGACAAUAAAUACUGAUACAGGGCUCUUUCGGGUCUUGUAAUUGGAAUGAGUACAAUUUAAAUCCCUUAACGAGGAACAAUUGGAGGGCAAGUCUGGUGCCAGCAGCCGCGGUAAUUCCAGCUCCAAUAGCGUAUAUUAAAGUUGUUGAGGUUAAAAAGCUCGUAGUUGAACCUUGGGCCUAGCCGGCCGGUCCGCCUCACCGCGUGCACUGGCUCGGCUGGGUCUUUCCUUCUGGAGAACCUCAUGCCCUUCACUGGGUGUGACGGGGAACCAGGACUUUUACUCUGAACAAAUUAGAUCGCUUAAAGAAGGCCUAUGCUCGAAUACAUUAGCAUGGAAUAAUAGAAUAGGACGUGUGGUUCUAUUUUGUUGGUUUCUAGGACCGCCGUAAUGAUUAAUAGGGACAGUCGGGGGCAUCAGUAUUCAAUUGUCAGAGGUGAAAUUCUUGGAUUUAUUGAAGACUAACUACUGCGAAAGCAUUUGCCAAGGAUGUUUUCAUUAAUCAGGA